CAAAAGUUCAGAAGACUCUGAGGCAGCAGCAGAGGAGGGAGCAGAUUUCCAGCAUCGUCUGCCUCGCUGAUUUUGACAAUCAGCCAAUGGUGAAACAGCUAAUACUCGAAAUUAUUUUCUAUGUUCUCACGGCAGCAACUACAUGCGUGGUCUUGACAACUCCCAGAUGUCCUCCGGUCAGUCGCCAAGCCUUGGCUUGCUCAGCACGAAUUCCAGCUCCUGUUUAAUGCGCUAGGAAGUACAACUAGCAGUCAAUCAGCAACUUUCUGAUGUCCACUCUCUGGCCAAGGAAAUGCGUUCCUGGAUCUGUCAUUUCCGCUGGUUGUUAUCUUGCUCCAAUUUCGUGACUAAGAUAUUCUUUGAAGCAAACUUCAAAUUUCCCUAUUCUUCUAUCAUAUAAACUUUGACUUGAACCAUGAGUUGGAUUUCACAGUCACAUGUAGGCGUAGAAGUAUCACAAGCCUGAAGAGUGCACAGGAACUAGAGUCAGAGAUUGGAGAGAGAGAACUGAGCCCUAACUCAGCUCCUGAACAGGUGAGGAGCACCAGUGCCUGAGAUCGGCCAUCCCAUGUUGCAGAAAGCAGUCCCAAAAGGCUUCCUGAGAAGUGACACCUGAGUUGACUGGUAGAGGGGAGGCAGCUUUUAUUUACUCAGAGGAAAUAUAUGCAAAACCAAGACAGGAGUCUGCUUUCUGUUUUGCUUUGUUUCUUGGAGUUGCAAUACAUUUAUAGUGCCUAAAAUAUAAGGUACAGUGUGGGAUUGCGAGAAGAAAAGCCAUGCUUAUGUUAUAAGU